GAUGAACGCUGGCGGCGUGCUUAACACAUGCAAGUCGAACGGUGAAGGCGGAGCUUGCUCUGCUGGAUCAGUGGCGAACGGGUGAGUAACACGUGAGCAAUCUGCCCCUGACUCUGGGAUAAGCGCUGGAAACGGCGUCUAAUACUGGAUACGAGCUGCGAAGGCAUCUUCAGCAGCUGGAAAGAACUUCGGUCAGGGAUGAGCUCGCGGCCUAUCAGCUUGUUGGUGAGGUAACGGCUCACCAAGGCGUCGACGGGUAGCCGGCCUGAGAGGGUGACCGGCCACACUGGGACUGAGACACGGCCCAGACUCCUACGGGAGGCAGCAGUGGGGAAUAUUGCACAAUGGGCGAAAGCCUGAUACAGCAACGCCGCGUGAGGGACGACGGCCUUCGGGUUGUAAACCUCUUUUAGCAGGGAAGAAGCGAAAGUGACGGUACCUGCAGAAAAAGCGCCGGCUAACUACGUG
rnacentral:rRNA from 1 species